GCACAAUGGAAUACUAUUAGCCUUAGUAAGAAAGAAAUCCUGUUAUUUGCAGCAACAUUUAUGAAGCUGGAAGGCAUUAUGUUAAGUAAACCAGACUCAUAAAGACAAAAACUGCAGGAUCUCAUUUAUAUGUGGACUGUGAAAAAGUCAAACUCAUAGAAACAGAAUAGAAUGAUGGUUACCAGAGGCUGUGGGGUGGGGAACUGGAAAGAUGUUGGCCAAAAGUCACAAAAUUUCAGUGAGAUAGUACAAAUAAGUUCAAGAGAUCUACUGUACGUCAUGGUUACUUCUAUUAAUCACAACAUAUUUUAUAUAGAAAUUGCUAAGAGAGUAGAUUUUAACUAUUCUCAUCACAAAAAAAUAAGUGUAGGUGUUCAUGCAUGUGUUAAAUACCUUGAUUUACCUAUCUUACAAUAUAUACAUCUAUCAAAACAUCAUGUUGUAUACAUCACUAUAUGCUAUUUUUAUUUUUCAAUUAAAAAAUAAAGAAAAUAAAGCAGAGGCAUAAUAUGAUCAUGUCCACUUCUUAGGAUUGCAAUAAUAUCAAUGGAAAACAAACUAGGAUUGUUGAUUCUCUAGGCUUUGGGACUGGUACCAAGGAUAAGAGAAGGGAAUAAGGGCAGACAUAUGAAGAAACCACAGGUGAUAAGAAACUGUGAGAUUCAUAUUGAGUACUAAGUGGGGAUGUACUGGCAGAGAAUGAUAGCUGAAUGAAUACUAGGGAAUAAAUGGUGUCAGCUAAUACUCCUCCCACCCCAAACACUGGUGACACAGAUAUUCUCUUUCUUGUUCUCUCCCCUGAAACUGGUGCUACUUGGAAAAGGCUUUCAUUCCAGCUUGUCUGCCCUGGAACUCUUUGUUCUCUGGUUUCCGUGGUUGCAGAAUCUAGCAAAUUGAACACAGUCCCUACAGAGCACUGAAUUGUGAAUGUUAAAAUUUACGAUGGAGCAAUUUGGUCGUGCCCUGUUCCAGAAGAAAUGGAGACAUUUAAUUUUUCACGUGCUUCAGUGGCAGCCACUUGUUAUGACUUCAGAUCAAAAGGUGGUGCAAAGUUAGUUUUAAAUUAUUUUAACAUGUGCAAUUGGAACACUGAGAUGAUUUAUGAAAACAAAUGAUCUGAGUUGGCACUAAGGGGUUUUGAGACUCAUUUUUCAGCCAUUUAUUUUUAAUCUCUCUGAAUAUCUUCAGCUCUGCUGAUACCAACACUCACUUCUGAAGCCAACAAGCCGUCUGCUUAUAAAUACUGAAUCAACUGAACAAAUGGUCUUCAGUUUUUUCAUGAAACCCAUCUAAAUUUCAUUGUGUAAGAAGAGAAAGAAGACAAGUGGGACAACCAUACAGAAAGGUUCUGAAAGAUGCUGGUGACUUCAGUGAAGAUAGCAUUGCUGCAUAAUGUCCACAAAUCAUAGAUAAUAAAAAUAUAACCAAGAACAUGACAUAUGUAUUUAUUACUUGUAUUUUUAUAUUUAAUUUUAAAUAGUCUUCAGUAACAUGCCUGGGACAAAGCCAUGGGGAUUUAUUUUUCAUGUCCUUCACAUCCACUUCUACUUCUUCUGAGUGACUUCUUCAUUGACAGUGGGUGGAAUGGACCAAAUAUGGACCAUAUUUCUUUUUCAUAUUAAAUAUUUUUCCCCAGACAUCUGCUUCAUUGCCACUCCAUUACUAUAGGACAAUUUUCUUUGCUUCCCAUUCUCACAAUAGAAAAUAUGGCCACUAUAAGCUUCCAAGUUCAUGUAUUACUUGUCCAGCCAUCCAGAAAGAUUGAAUCAACUCUUGGUUCCAAUCCCACAUUUGCAAAAAUAUAUAUGUCUGCCUCUGGACUAAUAAACUGCUUUGUAAGUAGGGCUCAUGCUGCACAGAUAUGUUGGGCCCGCUCAAAUCAUUUAAGAGUAUGUGUGUGUUGUGGGGAGGAGAGGUGAUCCCUUAAAAAAAGAAGUGGUUCCCCCCAAAUUGGUAUCUACCGCUUCCUUUUUGGCCUAGUAGGGCCUAAUAUUAACAUCUAUUUUUAAAAGGCAUCAAGAUUGUCUUUAAAAAGUUUCACAUGCCAUCUACUCUUCAUUAAAAAUAUUCAUGAUAGAGAGUGAGGCUGAGCUACCUAGUAACCACUGUUUAGGAUUUAAAAUAUUGUUCUUAUGUUUUUCAUGUAAGCUUGUUGUCACUCAGAGAGUAUUUCCAGAACUGUGUAAAGACAGGAUAUGAUAAAACAGAUAACGUGUACUAGAUUGGUGGAAAAACUCAGUUAAGAGCAUGGCAAAUAAUCUUUAAUCUCUUCUUUUCUACAGAGCUCAAUAACUAUCGACUUUCCCUCUCAGUUGAUUGGAAAGGGCCCUCUCUGUGGUGAACUGAGUAUAGCCAGGGUGUGUACCUCAUGCCUUCUGAAUGGCAGCUCCAUCACUAAAGCAUCCCAGUUGCACAGUAACCAAUUCCAGGGGACCUCAAAUACUUUAUAAAGUUUGUAGCAAGAAGAGUUUCUUGAGAUUUCUAGGCAUUGUCAAAAUACUAACGAUUAGUCAUUUAAGACUGGUAUAUUUUUUAGGUAGCUAUUGACCACUCUGUGGGUAGUAUUGUGGAUAGUACUGUGGUACUAUGGUCACAUUCGUUCUCUCUUUCUCUCAUUUGUACAGUUCCUGCUUUAGACUCUGUACAUGGUCAUGACUGUGCAAUCCAUUGUAAAUACUCAAUACAUAUUUACUAAGUGAAAAAAUAUGUGUGUCUGCAAUGACAGGGAACAUACUUCCAUCUUUUUAUAUUCCCUGAAUUUCUUAGCUUCAUGCACUGCUUAUAAGAGAUGCUUAGUUAAUGUGUGUAGAUGAAGAAAAAAAAGAAUGAAAUUCGACACAUUCCAAAGUGCUUAGAUGGUUUAUUUGGUAAAACAAAAACAAAAACAAACAAAACAAAACAAAAAUAGCCAUUCCUCAAAGACUCAGAACUAACCAUAACAACUUAGGCUCCAUCAGUCUGAAUGAGUUAAUGCACAUGAGAGUACUAGGUAAGCUUUAAAGUGGUAUUAUUGUUGUUGCAAAAGACAACUCCAGGCUCACCCAACUAAAAUAGCUUACAACUGUAGAGCCCUUUACCAAUUACAAAGUACUUUUUUUUGAGACACAAUCCCCCUCUGUUGGGGUACAGUGCAGUGGCUGGUUCAUGGCUCACUGCAGCCUCAGUCUC